UCUUUAGCCCGGCCCAGUGCCCUUCAAUGCCCACUCAUCGUCUGGAGUGUCCGAUUUGCAAGCUUUUCAGUUCGGAAUGCCGUGGUGCUAAAAAAGAAUGAAGACUUAACAUUAAAUAAAACUGAAUAUAGCAACAGAGGCUACAUUAUUCGGAACAUAGGAUAGACAUUGUAUUGUAUCACUUCCCUUCUGUUCAAAAUACAUUCAGAGUGACUCAGCAGUGCGAAUUAAAAGCCGUGGCGGACGGGAGUGGGACGUUCGUUCAGAUAUCAGAUGCGUGGGUUGCUAACCAACAGAGAAGUGGAGGCAGGGAGAGACGGAUCCAGGACUGCUUCAUUAGGCCACUAUUUCAGUCCACCCUAAACCCAAAAAAGUGGGAAAGAGAAUUGCCAACACUCCUCAGGAAAGGCAAUUUGUUCCUGAGAUUUUAAAACGCAAGCUGUUCCAGUGUCAUUUCCAGCUGCAUUCACUCACUGCUUCUCUGCAUUCACUUAUUCAGAUAAGAGCAGUUUUUUAUCCACUAAUAUCUAGUUCAGAAUGUACAGUGCUUAGAUUGUGGUUCUUGGAAAGUUACAAAUAAAUGUAAUAUUUAUAAAAUAUUAUUAUUUAAUAUUAAUAUACACAAAAUUAUUGCACAGGAAUAAUUUGUAUGAUCUUUUCAUGGAGAAUAAACCUGAUGAGAGUUCA